CAGACAUUUCAUUAACUUUCAAAUAGCUCCGUUAAAAAUAACGGUCAAAUUAAUGGAAUUGAGUGCGCUGUGAAAAAUAUCGAAACAUUUGGGUGUAUAGUGGAAAAUAUUGAAAGAUUUGGGGGUUAGGUGGAAAUAACCCUUUUAUUUAUUUAUUUAUGUUUUUUUCACUAAAUUUUUUUUUUAUUACAUGAGACUAUUGCUCAGAUUACAACUCAUAUACAUGAGACUAUAACUGAUAUUUACAAAUCAGACUAAUACUGGGACCAACUUACAUAAUUGCUAAUAGAGCUCUGCCCAGAUUUUAACCCUCACAAAUAUUCGAGGGAUGUCUACUCCUCACUCAUGGAUAAGGGAGAAGACUACCUUCACUCAAAUUAAUUGAGGAAGGAAAUACCCCCACAAUACUUUUGUGGGGGUUCGAACUGCUGCCCUCCAAGUUGGAGGGCAGCAGCCCUGGCCACUCGGGCUGAGCCGAGUGGUUUGUUUUUUUCACUAAAUCUUAGAAUCAACAUAUAUUGUCAUUUAUGGGUCCGUCUAAGUUACAGCUGCUUUGUAAAAUUUCGAUCCGCC
rnacentral:lncRNA from 1 species